rnacentral:lncRNA from 1 species
AAAGCCAAAGGAUGGAUGCUAAUCACUGAAAGUGAGCACAGAUGGAAGAGACCAAAGGAAAAAGAAAAAACACUCGAUAUUUAAUCAAGCCUUUGUGGUAAAAGCCUUCCAGGGGGAAGAACAUCCCUUGUUCAUCAUAGAGGAGAAAGAGAACUUGUAAUAACUUCAGAGAUUUUUUACAAGCAGAAAUGACACAUCUCCACUUUAAAAGGUGCCUCUGUCAGCUGGAGUAACUCCUGUUGCAAUGAGAAAGUCUGAGUAGGAUCCUAAAAAAACUAGCAGGUAGGUGAGCUUCUGGCUGCUAUGAGUGGAAAACACAGAAUGCCUGUGUUUGAGAAAUCUGCUUUU